GCUGGCCGAGAUGUUGAAGAAGCCCAGCAUCCUCAAGCGAGCCCACGAAGAGAUGGACCGAGUCAUCGGGCGGCACCGACGCCUUGAGGAAUCCGACCUCCCGAAGCUCCCGUACUUGCAGGCCAUAUGCAAGGAGAGCUUCCGAAAACAUCCAUCGACACCACUAAACCUACCGAGAGUCUCGACCGAGGCGUGCCAAGUGAACGGCUACUACAUCCCCAAGAACACGAGGCUGAGCGUGAACAUAUGGGCGAUCGGGCGGGACCCGGACGUUUGGGAGAACCCUCUGGACUUCACCCCGGAGCGGUUCCUGAGCGGGAGGAACGCAAGGAUUGACCCCCGCGGGAACGACUUCGAGCUUAUCCCGUUCGGGGCGGGGCGGAGGAUCUGCGCCGGGACGAGGAUCGGGAUCAUGCUGGUCGAGUACAUACUGGGGACGUUUAUUCACUCGUUCGACUGGAAGCUGCCGGACGGCGUGGAUAAGCUGAACAUGGACGAGGCAUUCGGCCUGGCGUUGCAAAAGGCCGUGCCCCUCUCGGCCGUCGUCACCCCACGGCUCUCCGUUAGCGCGUACGCAUCUUAGAGCUUCACGCAAAAAGCUCUCCCACUACGAGAAUCCGACACUGUCGUCGUCCUUGGAGAACUUACUAGACUCGUGAUGGGUCACUAGAUGGGGUCUUCGCUCCUCUUUCGGUGUAUUUUCUUUCUUUAUGUAAUUUGAAUAAUCGACUGUUGUCAUAUUGUGAUAACCUGAAUUUAGUAUAUAAUAUUCGCUCGUGCUCCGCGUUGAUUAUAUAAAACUUUGUUAUAUGUAUAUCUUUGUUGUGGUAAUGGAAGUUCACUAGCAAUGAUAAAAGUGGCGUUGCCAUUAUUUACUAAUCCCGUAACAUAUAAUUUAAAUUAGUUUUUUUUUUUUUUGGCUCUUUAGAGAUAAUGGUUUAGUUGAAAUUAGUAGGGUCACUUUGCUAAUGCGAUGGAUGACUCACCUCCUUUUUUUGCUCGCUUGUUUAUGUAUGGUAAAAUGCAAUUUAUCACGGAACAUGCCUCUUCGGAAGCGGAAAGGCUACGCAAUACUUCCCUCGAUGCCUCCACGCGGGAAGCGCACGUCGCGGGAAGGAACCGUCGCGUGAUAAAGGACGGUCACUUGUCUUGUUUGGCGAGCUUGUAACUUAUCAGAAGUAAGAAACCUACACGGGUCCGAUUACUUGCUGUGCUUGAUGUGUGAGGAGCAAUGUUUUGCUUCCCCCGUCUUAGUUUCAUCCAUAAAGAAUACAUUCAUCCAAUUAAUGAGAGAGAAUCACAAAAAAAAAGUCAUAAUUUUACGGUGGGGUUGGAUUUAUUUUAAUGAAAUAGUAAAUCUUUUCCCAUAUCGCAAAUUGUGGUUGGGUCGAACUUAUUUCUUUCGAAGAAAUAAACGGGAUAGAGAAUGAUUGUCUUAUGGGCACUAAUUGGGUAAAGUCCAAUCAAUACUCGAUCCCUCCUAAGUGUUUCAUAAGGUAUAGCUAGGAUUUAGCCACGGGUUAUGUGUGCAAAUAUGUAUUGCUAAAGUAUAUAUAUAUAUAUAUAUAUAUAUAUAAAGGUAAGCACAAUAAUUAAUAUGCAAACGGUGCUUCAAUUUCAUUCAUAUAAACUCUCGUUCCUUCUCGUUCCUUAUACCACCCUAUAAAACAAACAUGUCAACAAACAUUUCAUUCCUUAUGACUCCCGACUUGCACCUAACAUUAGUAGACUUACCUCACAUUCACGAAUAUGCCACCUUACAACCACAUUAGUUAACACACAAUUAACUUUAUUAGGCCUAAGUUCAAAAUUCUCAAGUAGAGUCGCCACACUAUCAUGACCUACUUCUUGAGGGGAAUAGGUUUAAGGGUACUUAUUUACAAAGUGUGGACUUUCUCAAGUCCAUAUCUCAUGUAACAUUUGUUUCCCAAUUUAUUUGUUCAAAAUGAGCUGCCACUAGCCAUUGUUGAGAGUCGACUAGAAACCUUAAUCAAGACAUGGGAGUAUUAUCUUGAUGGAUGCAGCAAUCGAAGAUUUUGGGUUCGGGGACUUAAUUAUAUUGGCUAUACAACUAGUGCUGUUUUGGUAUCUAAACUGGAUUACGUGCUAAUCAAAGUGUAAUGUAGCCUAUCGAAGAAUUUGGAAUUCAUCCCAACCAUUCUAAAAUUGAAAAUAACAAUCAAUUUACGAGGUGCAAUCAAGUAUAAUCUAGGGUUCAUCCUGAACGUUAUUUGAAUUUUUUUAUUUUCAUGAAUUUUCUAAUUUUUUUUUAUUUAAUUAUUUUUAAUUAAAAAAAAAGGGACUUCGGACCAAGUCAAUGGACCUAGUUUGAAUCGUCGGUUUGACCCAAACCCUAUCAAUCCCGGUUGGGUCAGAAGUUGGACCAGGUCCUAAGGCCUGGUCCAAAUUUGCUAGGGCUAAAUCAACCAAAUUGGGUCUAUUUUCGCUUUGUCUAGAUCAAUUCGCACAUCCGGCCUUACCUUCAGCCCACUCGCAGCCUCCGGCCUAUUUCUCUUUUUUUUUUAUUUAUUGUUUUUGGCCCAGCCCACUUUCUUCGUAUGCUCGGCCCAGCAACGAACCCGCGACCUCAAACCCGGUCAACCGAAUCCGACCCACCCUCCACCUCCGGCAAUCUUGGCCAGAGUUCAGUCCGUCGCUAAGCCACCAUCCUUCGCUGGUCCUCCACUUCGAUCGCCAUCAAGCCACUGCUGCUGCUGCCGUCGCCGUUACCACUAGGUCAUCGGCCAAGGAUCACAUUUUCAUACAAAAUGCUAGAAUUUUUUUCUAAUUCAUUUGUAGGUUUCAACCAAAUAUUGAAAAAAUAUUAUCAAUUUCCAUAAAUAUUAUUAUUUUUGUGAAAUAAAUGAAGCUAUAAUUAUUUUUUUAAAAUUCUAAUAAUCAUCCAUUAACUUUGUAAUUGUAUGAAAGUGUUUUAAUAAUAUACAUAAAUUUUUUUUUUAAAAUCAUGAGAAAUACGUUUUUCUAAAUUUGGAUAAAUAUGGAAGUGUUUUAAUAUUAUGGAUCGAGUCAAAUACGAGUCAAUGAAUUUACAUUAUGAAUAAAUAGUCAUAAGCGAGUUAAGGGUCAAUUUGGAUUGAAUUAUUUAUGGCCUCGUCUGACUUGACCCACCCAUUCCAACGCAACAAGAAAAACGGCAAGGCCAAGCCAUAGGCAGUCCCCAAACAACGUCAAGCUUGAAAUCACAGCAAAUUGGUAAGAUUAACAACACAUCGAUUCAGCCCCGAACAAAGAGCGUGAACGCGGAUCAAACUUAAACGUUUCAUUCAGCAGUUGGGGCUGGGGCCCACUGGCUAAAAUAAAAGGACCACGAAAUGGCUGACACUCAAGCUCGUGCCGAGACUCAUGAAAACAUACAAAAACACAGGGACAAGACACAAGGACGAUGUGAGAUGGAGUUCACAUGAGCCGGACGGCCCGGAGCUCCGGCCCGGCGUGCCCAAAACAGGGCAAGAGCAGAGUUGGGACUGACCUGCUCAGCUUGAGGACGUCAUCGGGAGAGGUCGUUGGACGGGGUUCGCGUGUGGCUGAGAUGUCGGCCGGGGCUCACUCGUUCUCGGUCUCUCUACUCGCCCUCUCGGCUUCAGAUUUCUCUCCGAAGAACCCCCCUUGGCUCCACAUCUCCGAACAGGGUACAUCCAAAACGAGAACACCCCCUCACUCGAACGAAUUCUAGAAGGUCUUGGAUUGGCUCACCUCACCCCCGUUCACUCACUGUCACGUGCCCGCUCAUACGAAACUCACCUAAUGUUUUCUCCUCUCCUUGCGUCAUUCGGUCAACUUCUUCCCGUCAGGGUCAUUCCCUUCACAGCCGUGAGCGUAGGCAAGGGAGAGAAAACAAAGGGGCCAGGCUUUCUCUUAUUUAUUCACUAGGGCUCAGUCAUGGGCUCAAAGAGAAAAAGGAAAAUUGGGCCUAAAGAGCUCCUUCAAGAGAAAUGGGUUGGAUACGCCGAAAUUUUUGCUAAAAGAAUGGGCUAGACAAAACCGGCCCGCUCGAUUUUUAUUACACUUUUUGCCAUUUUUUAUUAACAGCAUACGGAUGCCAAUUUCUAAAUCUUAAAUUCAUCAAUUUAAUCAUAAAAUUUUUGAUGAUUUAUCAAUGUAAUUUUCCGAACAAUUCCGUCCGAUAAUCGUUGGUAUGGACGCCAAGCCUCUUAGGUGACACAACAGACGCUAAUGUAGAUGAUUUUUUCGUUAAAUCUAAACUUUGCUUCUUCUUUUUUAAUUUCUUUCAUUUUUUUAAUGUUUUUUUCUUCCUUUACCAAUCGCCAUGGCCAACAAGAUUGUCCUCAUCAGAUUUGGCAGAGUCUAGUGAGCUUCAAUAGAGGUUGAUGCUCACCUAUUGCUAGUUGCCAGCCAUUGCCACGGCUUAACGGAUAGUGAAAGAAGGGAAAAGAAGAAGAAGAAGAGAGAAACAAAAGAAGGAAAAGAAACAAGAGAAAAAAAAUAGAAAAAUUAAAAAAAAAAUGCAAAAGAAUCAUUCACGUAGCUGGCCACGACACAUAGAAUAGCUAACGUUCAUGGCAAUGAUUGCUAAUCAAAUUUGACCAAACUAACUACAUUAACAAAUUAUCGAAAAGGAUUAGGAUUAGAUUAGCCAAAUUAAAAAGUUUAUAAUCGAAUUUGCAUCCAUACAAUAAUUUAUAAACUUUUUAGGUUAUCUCUCCAAAAAAAAAAUGAGAAUAAUCAUUGUCUAAAUCAACAUUCAGGGAGUCAAAAGUUGUUAAAAUGACAAGUACGGACAUUGCAAAUAAAAUCCAAGUGAAGACCUGGAAGAAAAAAAAAUCUCGAGAACACGACAUCCAAUUCACAAGAAUAGGAUGAACCAUUCAUGUCUGUAGGAACAUAGGUUUUUAUUCGAGAGAUACGCCAUGUAAAAAAUCAUCGCACGAACAAGAUUGAAGUGUCAAUAUAAAAAAAAGAAAAAAGAAAAAAGAAAAAAAAAGAGCCUCAUUCUAGAUAUGCGUUUUCAUUCCAUGAUAAUUAGCGUGGGUAAGUAUUACAUAAUACUAUAUACAUGUUGAUGCUCGAAUAUUCUUUCAAUCAUAAAUUUUUUACACCAUCCGCGUACCAAAUGAAAAUCCUAAAAAUCUUAUUAAAUGUAUAUCGUAUAAAAUUUUUACAUCAUCUGCAUGCCGAAUAGAAAUCCUAAGUAUCUCAUUAAAUGCAUCGUGACCGCGGGCGUGAGUGCGUCGAGUCAUAAUAAAGAUUGGAUAUUUCAUCCGAAUGAUUGACAUGCAUAGCUAACUAGCCUUCGUCGUUUCUUAACCUUUGAAGACCUCUCUGUUCCUUUUCUUCUUUUGUAUCUGUUUUAGAUUCUAGCGAGGAUAAGAAAUCCACGCAACAGAGAAAUGAUAAUGUUGUUAAGCACGUGAUUGGCAGGGGCAGGUGACUUUGCCAACGCCAGAUGGUUCCGGAUGAGGAUUGGGGGACAUAUUCAAACCCUUCGACUUACCAUCGUGCGUCGCUGUCUUGAAUAAUUGAAGGCGAAGAUUAAUCAUCGAUUUGACUUAACCUCGGCUUCCUGGCUCCAUAGCCUGCCAGAUUGAAGUUUACAUUUCAAUUCGCGGUCCAAAUAUUUAAUUACCCGAAGGGCGAAAUUGAGAUUUUCACUACAGGAUUUAUGCGCAUAAUUUACUUUCGAAAGCAUCGUUAUGUGAUAAGUAUAUGUACCUAAUGGCCAACUCAAUCAUGAACGUUAUCUAAUCAACCCGUCAUUUCUUUAUAUUCGUUCGCUGAUUUUAAUCACAAUCCGAUAUACUUACAACAAACACAGGGUAAAGUUCUAAAUUUGUAAAUCCGUUAAUUAUUUCAUAUCAUCAGACUUAACAAUUUCACAGUAAAAUUUAAUAAAAACUAACAAAUGAUAAAUUUGAGACAAGCGUACCAACUUGAGAUUUUUAGUUAAUUAAAAAACUAAUUUUGGAUAAAUUUGUUACAGAUGCACUAUUUUUUUCGGUAGUAUUAACUCAAUACAUAUAUAUAUAUGUGUGUGAAGGAGUAAAUUUUAGAUAAAUUUCAAUAAAUGGAAGUGUGUCCGCCAUGAACAUUUACGAUGAUAUUGUACACUCUAUUCAACGACUGAGGAAUAGAGAUGGAUGAGAUUUUUGUUGAGGUUGUCUCACUUUAGUUGUGGAAGGAGUAGGUGGUCUAUUUAGAAGCGUAAAAGAGGCUUGAGACCACUCAACAUAGUAUUAGAGCACAGAUUUACCAACAAGUCUGGACACGAGAGAGUUAUGAAUUAUUAUGACUUUGAUUUAAGAUGAGAUUGUGGAAGAGACAUAUGAUUAGCUUUUAAGUGUGAGGGAAAAUCUCUCCUCUUAAAUUAAUUUUUUUAGUGAAGGGAGGGCCAACACCACCCAAUACUUUUGAAAAUGAAAUCAUUCACGGACGAAUGCAUUCGUAUCCGGGGAGGACGAUGGAUGACACUUACAGCGUCUCUCUCCCUCCUCUCAUUUCGAGUGGGGGAGUAGGUUAUCAUAACGUUGCCAAGUGCUGGCAUCAUACACUAUCUACACUCUGCUCCGUAAAAAGUUCUAUUUGUCUACGUCAUAUCACGUGACGGGGACCAUAUCUUUUAUGCAUCGAUGAUCCCAUAAUUCUUCACGGAGAAUGGUAGAUCUCGAGGAGCUCAAGGAGAAAAGAAAGCACUGCUGCCCUUCAAAACAUUCUCUGCAAAAUUGAGACAGUGGUUUGGUGGGAAAUCUCGUGCCCCGUUGCAUUCGAGCUACCCAGAUCGUACAUGCGUUUUCAUCGGUCUAUAUAACAGGCAGCAUACAACACACUAAGAAGUGCCCGCGCUCUUCACGAAAUAUUGGAUCGUAUCCCAGCACUUGCAGCGCAUAGAUGGCGAUUCUCGCCGACAAAGUCCUGCUCCGAGAGAUCGCCUCCGCGGCUCUCCUCUUCCUCAUUACCCGAUUCUUUGUCAGCUCUCUCCUGCUUCGCUUGAACUCCUUUAAGCUCCCGCCUGGCCCGAAAGGGUGGCCGGUCAUCGGCGCCAUCCCUCUCUUGGGGAACAUGCCCCAUGUAGCGCUGGCCAAAAUGGCCAAGAAGUACGGGCCGGUGAUGCACCUGAAAAUGGGCACGUGCGGCAUGGUCGUGGCGUCGACCCCUGACGCCGCCCGGGCUUUCUUGAAAACCCUAGACAUCAACUUCUCCAAUAGGCCCCCGAAUGCGGGCGCGACCCACUUGGCCUAUGACGCGCAGGACAUGGUCUUCGCUGACUAUGGCCUGAGGUGGAAGUUACUUAGGAAGCUGAGCAAUUUGCACAUGCUCGGAGGGAAGGCCCUCGAGGACUGGGCUCGCGUCCGAACGUCCGAGCUAGGGUACAUGCUUCAAGCCAUGUGCGAGUGCAGCAAGCGAGGCGAGCCGGUGGUGGUGCCAGAGAUGUUGACCUAUGCCAUGGCGAACAUGAUAGGGCAAGUCAUUUUGAGCCGAAGGGUGUUCGUGACGAAGGGCUCCGAGUCUAACGAAUUCAAGGACAUGGUGGUAGAGCUGAUGACAAGCGCAGGUAUAGAAAGACAUUUGAAACAAAAACACGAAUACGCUUAGCUAUCACGCGAGUUGUUAAUUGCUCGAACAUAAGGCAGGCUCACGAAAGUUACUCUAAUUCCCUUACUUGAUGUAGGGUUCUUUAACAUCGGCGACUUCAUCCCGUCAAUUGCAUGGAUGGACUUACAAGGGAUCGAAGGUGGAAUGAAGCGCUUGCACAAGAAAUUCGACGGGCUGUUGACGAAGAUGAUCGAGCAACACUCGGCAACUGCUCACGAGCGUAAAGGAAACCCGGAUUUUCUCGAUGUUGUCAUGGCUAACCGAGAUAACUCCGGGGACGAGAAGCUUAGUUUGAUCAACAUUAAGGCUCUUCUCUUGGUAAAUACAUGUCUAAGUGAAUUGAACAAAAUCUAUCAUGUCGAUUCUUGGCUUCUUCAUCAACUUGUGACGUUGAUAAGUACUGAUCUCGUUAUCUCUUUUUCUAGAAUUUGUUCACUGCGGGCACUGAUACUUCAUCGAGCAUAAUCGAGUGGUCGCUGGCCGAGAUGCUGAAGAACCCCAGCAUCCUCAAGCGAGCCCACGAAGAGAUGGACCGAGUCAUCGGGCGGCACCGACGCCUUGAGGAAUCUGACCUCCCGAAGCUCCCGUACUUGCAGGCCAUAUGCAAGGAGAGCUUCCGAAAACAUCCAUCGACACCGCUAAACCUACCGAGGGUCUCGACCGAGGCGUGCCAAGUGAACGGCUACUACAUCCCCAAGAACACGAGGCUGAGCGUGAACAUAUGGGCGAUCGGGCGGGACCCGGACGUGUGGGAGAAUCCUCUGGACUUCACCCCAGAGCGGUUCUUGAGUGGGAGGAACGCGAGGAUCGACCCGCGCGGGAACGACUUUGAGCUGAUCCCGUUCGGGGCAGGGCGGAGGAUCUGCGCCGGGACGAGGAUGGGGAUCGUGCUGGUCGAGUACAUACUGGGGACUUUGGUCCACUCGUUCGACUGGAAGCUGCCGGACGGCGUGGAGGAGCUGAACAUGGACGAGGCGUUCGGCCUGGCGUUGCAAAAGGCCGUGCCCCUCUCGGCCGUCGUCACCCCACGGCUCUCCGUUAGCGCGUACGCACCUUAAAGCUUUCCCCAAAAAGCUUUUCCACUAUGAGAAUCCGACAUUAUCAUGACACUCGGAGUUUUAUUAGACUAGUGAUGGGUGGUUCCCCAGAUGGGGCCUAUGGCGAAUGCGACGUAACUCCCUCCUCUUUCGGUGUAUUCUGUUUUCUGUGUUUUCGAAUAACCCAGUGUCUUUGUGUGAUUGUAAUAAUAUGAACUUAGUGUUAUAUAAUAUACGUGUGUGCUUUGCUUUGAUUAUAUAUAACUUUGAUAAUAAGUUAUAUACAUACAUAUAUGUGCGCAGAUGUUGUUAUAAUGAAAGACCUCUAGCAAUGCUAGAAGUGAUAGUUGCAGUUAUUUACUAUGGGCGCGUUUGGUAACGUUUCUGUUUAAAAAUUGUUUCGGAUAACAGAAAUAGAAAAAACUAUUUCUGCUCCGGGGAAUAAUUUUUUAACAGAAGAAGACGUUUGGUAAACUUGUUCCGGGAAUAAAAAAUGAACAGAAACACGUUUGGUAAAUUUGUGUUCUUUUUUUUUGUUUCUUUUAAUUUUUAAUAUUUUUCUAAUUUUUCUUUCUUUUUUCUUUUUUAUUUUUUUCUUCUUUUGGCUGGCGACCGGCCAAAGAAAAAAUAAAAAUAAAAGAAGAGAAAAAAGAGAAGAAAAAGAGAGGAGAGAAAAUUUGUUCUUAAAAAUUGUUCCAGAAACAAGAAACGUGUUUUUCUUAUUUCUCGUUUUUAUUCCAAAUGUGUUCCUAAGAAUAAAAAAAUAAAUUUGGAACAAAAAUGCAAACAAACGUAUUUCUAUUAUUUUUUUGUUUCCUGAAAAAAAAAAAUUUGUUCAUAAACAGGAAAAAAGAAUGUUAACAAACAGGGCUUCUGUAACCCAUGACAUAUAUUUAAUUAGUUUUUUUUGGCUCUUUACACAAAAUGACAAAAUGGUUUUAGUUGAAAGUUGUGGGACCCCGGAGAAAUCGUGCGAUGUCAAAUCACUUUGCUAAUGCUUCUUCCGAAAUUACUUGCCUCAAGCUUGUAACUUACAAGAAAGAAGAAACCGACACCACCCAAUUACUUGCUUUUUUUUUUUUUUUUUUGGUGACCGAGGAUCCGCCGAAGCCUACCCUUGUCAGCUUAUGCCGAUUUGGGAUCUCAUGGGCCUUCACGGUGGAGGCUCAACAACGACCAUAUCUCAGGAGAAACUGGCCUAGUAACCCACCGCCAGGGCUUCCGUUUUAAUUGCUAACAAUGCAAGAUUUUGAACCAUUGACUUCCUUUGCUGGAGGAGAGAACUCAACCAACUAUGCUGCCCAUGGUUGGGUACUCAAUUACUUGCUUUACCUUAUGUGUGAAGGCCAGGUUUUGCUUCCUAUUACGAGAUGCAUCAAACGUGGGUUGAGUCGAAUUUUAGUUAGGUUAUAAAUGAUCUUAUUUGAAUUUAUUUAUGAUUAAUUUAUUCAUAAAAUAAAUCUUUUUAACCAUACUCAACUAAAUCAAUACCCAACCCAACAUAUAUUACUAAAAUAUUUUCAUAUUAAACCUAAUGUGGGAAAAUUUAUAUCCAAAUUGAAAUAAGAGCACGGAGAGAGAGAGAGAGAGAGAGAGAGAGAGAUAUGAGAUAAUCAAGGUGGUUAAGUCUUAAAAAGUUGUAAACCCAAUUAUAAUUCAACCACUUAACAUCUAUAUUAUAUUUAAAUCCAUUUAUAAUCCAUUUACUCAAUAUAAAUGACCCAUAUAAUAACUUCGUCUAUUAUAUAUGAGUUAAUAAAUGGGUUUAUAAUUCACUUUAACAUGUCUGUCUAUAGAUUGACUUCAACUAAAAAGAAUACAUCAACCAAUUAAUGAGAGGAAUAAUUAUAAAAACAAAAACCAUGAGUUUAUUAUAUGCGUGUUAAUUUAGUCUUAAAUCUUUUAAUUUUGUUAAUUUAGUUAAAAAUCAUUGGAUGACUUGCCAAUGUAGUUUUUUCGGUCAAUUUUGGUCGAUAAUCAUUCAUGUGGAUGCCAAGCCUCUUACGUGGCAUGGCAAAUGCUAACGUGGAUAACUUUUUUGUUUUUUUGUUAUAAAUUAUAAUCCUUUUAUUUUUUUCUUCUUCCUUUGCCAAUCACCAUUUUUCUAAAUUUUUUUGCUAAGAAUCGACCUCGCCAUAUCUAGCGGGGUCUAGUGAACCUCAAUAGAGGUUGGCCCUUGCUUGUGGCCAAUCACUAGCCAUUGCCAAGGCUCAACAACUAGUGGAGGAAGAAGAGAUAGAAAAAAAGAGAGUAAAGAAGAACAAAUUUAGAAAAAUUGUUUGGAGAAAAUGAACUGUUAUUACCGACCUAUCCAUCAAAAUAAGAGAUUAACCUAAUCCUUUUCCACAAAAAAGAGUUCCUUAGCUAUUUAAAGUGCCCUUCACAAUAAAGGUAACACCCGCAUGCAUGGUUUUAAAAAUUUGAACCGUUCGAUAUAUCCACACUUAAAGCAAAACAAAAGGAAAAUUCAAGUGUAAAACUAUCUUGAAUUGACACUGUCAAAAGUAAUUACGCAAAUUUACUUCCAUGAUUAGAAAUUUUCAUGCAACACACUAAACAAAUUCGAUGCACUACAAGUUAACCACAUCCAAGUUGGCGCAUCACGUAGGUCCGACAUGCAAAGUCACCGACUAGAUACCCUAUCUAGUCGUGAAAGUAAUUUUGGCAAUGAAAUUUUAAUUUGUUCAAUAUGAUUAUUGUAGCUUAGUAUGCAAUAUUGUCAUUGAACUUUUAAUCCAUUAAAUAUGGUUCUCGAACUUUUGAUAUUCAUUCAAUCAUUUAUCAAAUUAUAUGAAAAUAUCAAAUACCAUCCUUUCAUUUUUUUUUCAAGUUCAAUAAUAAUAUUGAACAAUUUCAUAUAGUUUAAGGAUUAAAUUGAAUAUACACUAAAAUUUUAUAGAUUAUAUUGAAUAAAUUAAAGAUUUAAGGGUCACAUUGCACAUUAGACUGAAAUUUAAAUAUCAAAUUAUUUAUUAAAUCAAAGUUUAUUAAUUAUUUAUGUAAUUUUUUGUUAUAUAAAAGAUCGGAAGAAAAACUUGAAUAUGACCAAAAUAUCAGUGUAUCCAUCAAGGAAACCUACUCGAGCGAUCAAGUCAAAUCGUGAUACGACAGAAGCGAUGCCGUCUGGGCCCACUUUUGCUUGUUUGAAGUUGGGGCGGCUUCUCCCACCUUCCUCACGUCUAUUAUUUUAUUUCCUUACGUUACCGUGUCCCAUCUUAUAAUAAUAAUAAUAAUAAUAAUAAUAAUAAUGAUAAUAUCUUGUAAACUAUUAUGUCAAGAUAUAUCUUGGAAAUGAAUUACAUAAAAUUAUAAAAGUUCAUUUACAAAAUUGACAUAGCAACUAGCAAGUACCAAAAAGGGCCAAAUAUAUGACCAAGUUGAUUAAACAAGUCGUUACAUUGUUACACAUUCAAAAUAGUAAAGAAAACUAGAGCAUGGAUCGAUUGAAAGAAGACAAAGGUAAGCAUCAAGAUUGUGGAUACCCACCUUGCAUUGACACCAGGUCUAUGUAUGAAUUUUCCAUCGAAGAGUCGGCAUCGUCUCACAUAAAUAUGCUUAAAAUUUAAAAUUUGCCAAACGAAAGAAUUGGGUUACAGCUCAAUGAUAGGACAAGGUGCACCUGACACAAUUAUAAUAUAUAUUUCUAUCAAUCAGAUAUUAUCCAAAGCAAAUCCUUUUUGAAUAGAUUCUUAGGAAACUAUAUAUUUUUCUCUGGCGCGUUCAUAUGCGGAAAAAAAAAAAAAAACGUAAUUUACGAUACCCAAGAAAUCCUGAAGGUAACGAAGGGUCUUGAGCCGCUCAUACCCGGAUCAUAUCUGCUUCAAUAAAAACGAAAUGGACAUCUCGUACGCGGCAAGCAACGAUGCUAAAUAAAUAAAGGACAAACAUCCUACCCAAAUUCCCGACACGUGUAAGCCCGAUAGCCUGGAUGGCUCACACGCCGUGAACCCCCGACCUCGUCGACUUAUAAACAUAAUGGGGUCGAGCUCAAAUGAAUUGGGAGCAAGCCACGGUACUAGCCUAUCGAAUUAUAUAUAAUUCCACUCGAAGCGCUGCGACAACGAAAGACGGCCCCCAAGGAGUCAGCACAAGCUCGCUGAAUUCGAGCUGCCCUCUUGUCGGACAUCGCUGGAAUCACGACCACGGCAGACGGAUUCGGGGGGCACAUGAUGUCCUGAAUAUGCGAUCGCCAGCAUUCAAAAUGGAGAAAUGGGGUCACGAGGAAGACGAUUGGCUAAAUUUCCUCCUUGCUAAUGGUAGUGCGCAUCUGCCGGAACCAAAAUAGACUUGCCUGCGCACAAGGCGAUAAUUUAUUAAUUGAAAGGCCACUAUGUAUACUGUUGAUAAUGUGAAUGCUAAUGUACGUAUCAUGCUGUCCGUGUUAAGGUCAUGGUUGCUACCCUACGAUGCGAAGAAAUUGGCCACAAAAAAUAUUCCAAUUUUACUGAAAAUGAGACAUGAAUCUGGUUCUUACUGGAUAUUAAAUUUGCUUGUCUGUUUCACUAUUUUGAAAUGCAAGCGGAUGCAUUUUAUUUUGCACAUAUUAAGAUCGUGCAAAUCUUCUAAACACAUUAAGAUUGGCGUUGGAUUGAAGAGGCUGUGCAGUCUGGAUUAGUUUUUGGUUUUGGAAAGAAAGUCAGUUCAAAUAUUGAGGCUUGUUUUAUCUGAUGAAUUACACAUGGUGGUGCAGCUGGGAUUUUAUGUUUACUAAAUAAUGCAAGUACUUUAAGGUUGUCCAGCGCCAUCGGCUUCAUGGUCUUACUUCUAAGAAUGUUGUUUCUUUAAGUUUUUCCUGGUUUACGUGAAGUGGGGGGUAGCGGGAGCAUUUUCUUUUCUUUUCUUGGAACAUGUGCAUUUUUAAAGAGCAAACAUAGAGGAAACCUUGGCUAUUUUGAAGUUUAUAUUGUUUUAGGUUGUACAAGUUUGCCUCUAUGAUAUAUCUACCAUGUGGUGUUGAGGUCUAGCUUGAGUAUAUGAGAUAGAGCUAUUGAGGUCCAACCUAUGCAGUUGAGAUAUAGCUAUUCCGUUCAAGUGAUCACUCCGGUCUGAAAAUAGCCCCUUUCAUUCACAAUCUGAGUUUAUUGCAACUGGUUGUUCAAUGGUUUCUUUGGAGCAAUCUACUUCACGUUUGAUUGAUUUGUUAUCCUGGUAGUAGGAGAGUAAUGGCUAGUGUAGCAAUUCCCCCGCUGAUGUUAUCCUGGUAGUAGGAGAGUAAUGGCUAGUUACAAUGUAGCAAUUCCCCCGCUGAUGGCUAGCUUAAUUUGGCCAUAACACCACCCACCUGGGUGGCGUUACUGGCUUUGGGCCCUCUCCCCCUCGUGAAGGGGAGGGGUUCGAAUCCCCAGUGCGUCCAGGGUGACUUAACCGCUGGCGUGAGUGUGGUGGCCAGCUUGCGUCAGCCCCAGGUUCUUCCCGCCAGCUGUCGGCUUUCGGGGUUUCCUAGGUCACAAAAAAAAAAAAAAAAUUGGCCAUAACUAUGGAUCCUGUUCUGUUUGCGAUGUUUUUGAGUAUUAUUUCAUACGAUUGUUCAAUGGUUGUUUUCGAGCACAUGCAACAAGCCCAUUGGACGGCUCAUGUCCUCGGGAGUGGGAUUACAACUUUCCAUCAUACUUUCGCAAUUUUAGGAGGCACAUGACAAAAUUUAUAGAACAAAAAUCAAUUUCUAUUCCCCGGAUGAGUUUCUAAGCAAAGAAAUGCAUUUGGUCAUGAUUCAAAAUUUUUGUUUAUGCAAUAGAAAUUUGUUUGACAACAAAAUAAAAUUUCUAUUUCUACAAGGGUGGCGACAGAUGAUCGACGGUUGGAGGUCAGUGUCUGGCAAUGAGCGGCUGGCCAGAGUCUGGCUACCAACGAUGGGCAGUUGUACGUCCGGGCACGGGUAACAGACGUCCAACGGUGGGUGGCGGGCGAUUGACGACUGGUGUCUCAUGACCAGUGUUCAUUGGUCGACGACUAGCAACCGACGACGCGCUUUCAAUGUCCCACAGGUGGUGGACGAGUGAUGUGCAAUAACGAAAGUAAAUGGUGAUAAGACUUUUCUUUUCUUAUUUUUGUACAAAAGUAAAUAGAUUUGUAUGCAACAAUGGCAUCUUUGUACACAACAAUGGACCCACACCAAUGCCUCAGAAGGAGUAGGACCCACAACCUACAAACCUCAACCACAUAUCCGAGAAGCUCAUAAUUACAAGUUAUUUCUUGAUUGUACACAACAAUGACACCUUCACCAAUGCUUCAAAAGGAGUAAGAACUACAAUCUACAAACCUCAACCACAUCUCUAGGAAGCUCGUAUUUACAAGUCAUUUCCUAGUUGCGACGGAUUUGUUGAAUACCGUUACAAAGAACUCCAGAGAGUCUUAUGCCAAGAGAAUCAAACCAUUCCUAAAGAAGUAUGGAAUUAUUUUAACACCUGUCCCAUGGGAUCACUACAAACUUACAUUUGCAACCAGAAAAGCAUUAGAGGAAUUCAAUCGAGCAUAGAAUUAGGUAAUAAUACAUUCGUCGCAAGAGCAAGAAAUGACAGAUAUGGACGAUCUUGCACGAUCAUUUCAAGAAUCCUAUGUCCAAUUAGGGCUUCUCUCUCAAGAGCCCUAUGAUCAAUGACCCUUGUCCUCAUCCUUUGGAAUAGACCCCGACACAAUUUCCCAUCAUGCUCAAACAUCGAAUUAGCCCUAGCCAAACAUACCUGAAAGAAUAAACCAACACAGUGUUCCAAGAUCCUCCAGAGCUCAUGAAGAAUCCUCCUCAAGUGGUCUAGAUAUGUGGAAUGCCCUAAUAUCGCAAAGAAAAUUCAUCCACAGCACUUAUAGUCCUCUUGCUCUUGACAUUGGACUUGAAGAUCUUGAGCAACAACACAUGGAAGAGCAAAUAGCACGGCAUAACUCUGAUGAUUCAGACUAUGACUACAAUUCUCGAGAUGGAAGAUAGGCCUGUAGCAAAUUUAUUGUAGCACGGGUCAUUGUAGCAGUGAGCUUGAAAAAUCACUGUUCAUAAUCACUAUUCAUAUCAUCUUUAAUAAUUCUUGACCGGGAUUCCCGAAGCCUAUGUGUUUUUCAAGACCCAUGAGUGUGAUUUUUGUUUUAUGUAAACCUCUUUGUGCCUAUAAAAGGUAAGGAGGGUGUAAUGUUUUGGGUAGAGUUUUUGAAGUAAAGUGUGGGCUUGUAAAAAUUAUCUCCAUGUCUCUCUAAACACUUCUUUUUCUCCAGUCCGGUGGAUCUUCUAAGUAAUGCAACCCGACUAGUUAGAAAUGUUACUAUCCUGACAUCAUUGCAUGUCUCUAUAUUCUGAACUAAAUUUCUAGAUAAUUCAUAGUUGAAAGACAGUUCCUGAAAGGCCUGAACAAGAGGUUCGCCUAGUAUGGGAUAUUUGCUGCAUAGUUGCCGCAGCUAACUUGGUUUUUGGUGAUCGGAUCAUUCAUUCAUUGCGUAGAAAAUUGGGGAUUAAUUUUUAACCCAUACAAAAAAUAUUAAAAUUAAAUAGUAUAGCAUGUAAUUUUAGAAGCAUUUUUUUUUUAUUGCAUUUGCAUUGGAAUAACGACGGAUGUAUUUGAAGUGAUGGUUCUGAGGUUUAAUUCAGUGAGUUUGACUAAGUCCAUGGAGAGAGGGAUUGGUCCAAGUCCGAUAUUCUCUGAAGAUCGAAAAUUGACUUAUGAAAAAUGGCAAUUUGAUAUUUUCGGAAAUGAUUCAUAUUAUUCUUCUAAUAUUCGAAAAACCUUUUAUAUAUUCAUGCGGUAGAUUUUGCAACAGAUUAGAAGAUUUCGAAAUAAUAAGAGUAAUAUCACGGGCGGAAACAUAUUUAAUAUCCUUAUCGUAUAUUUGGUCAGUACCAGGGCAAGAAAUUACCUGUUCUCUGACCAAUCCGUGAAGAAAGAAUUGAGCGUUGUGCCCUCGAUUAUCGGUGAACGUGAACGGAACAGGAAGUCGACAUUAUUUUGUGGUAUUUUGGUCCCCACCUUUAUUGCGUUUAGAAACAAAAUAGGAAAGAGAGAAGGGACGAUCUUUUCUUACUAGUUCCGUGGUGCAAGAGGGGCACUAUAAAAGGACAAGAAGACAGACAACAAAAGGGCAGGUUAGAUUUUCUUGUCUCUCGAUCAACAUGUCAACUAGGUAGCUUUUUCAUUCUUCUCUUACCCCUUUGCAGAAAGGAUAAGACGUGUGUGUGUGUGUGAGAGUGAGAAAAUAUUCAGUGGUUAGCAAUCGUCCUACGUGGUGCGCACUUACCACUCGGAGAUCGACACGCGUCCUGUGGGACCCGCUGGAAAAUGGAGGGGCGGGCUCGGCUUGGCUCGGCUCGCUGAAGAAGAAGAAAAGACAGGUCAAGACUCCCGCCCAAAAGAUUUCUCUCUCCUGCAUUGAAUUUUCUGCAAUUUUCUCUCUCUCUCACUUUCUCUCCUCCUCCCUCUCGCGACGUCCGCUCUGCUCUCUCUCUCUCCCCCUCCGCGAAGUCGUCCGACGCCGACGCCGACGCCGACGCAGCCUUCGCUUCCUCCCCUGAACCCGACUCUGACGCCGACGCAGCCUCCGCUUCCUCCCCUGAACCCGACUCUGACGCCGACGCCCCUCCGCCUCCCUCUCGCGACCUCUAGUCCGCUCUCUCUCUCUCGUCCUCGAAGUCGCGCCUCUCUUCCAGCAAACCCCGACGCCGACGCCCCUCCGCCGGUUGCCUCCGUCGGCGUCGAAGUCCGUCGCCCCCGUCUCCUCCGCCUCCGCCUACACGCCCGACGCCAACGCAUCGAACCACGACGGCGAAAAUGGAGGAGAGAGAAACGACGAAGCAGAAGACGGAGACAAAGAAGCAGAAGCGCGCGCGCUCGGGGUUCUGGACAUGGGUCGUCGCGUCGGUCGCGUUCCGGCUCGCCCUCGUCUACCUCCCCAGGAACCUCGGCCUGUCCACCCGCCCCGAGGUCGCCAGCUCUCUCACCAGCAUUCGCCGCCGUAACGCCGCCUCUCUUCGCUCCGUCGAUCGAUUCCCGAUCCCCGAUCCCCCUCCUCCCUUGAAAUCUUGGAGGUCCAUUUUCUGAUACGAUUUCUGGUUUUUCUUGUUUGUGCCGCCUGCAGUUGGCGAAGGCUACUGGUUGAAGCAGUCGGUGAUGUCUCCCUACGCAGGUUCGGCUCCGUUCGAUCUCUGUAGGAAGGAAGCUGCUUGUUUGCCUACUGGUGUGUCGCUGUUUGAUGCUUUGAUCCCUUCCACAGGUUCCAUGUAUCACGGUUCUCCUUUGCUGUUGCUUGUUCUCGGACCUCUCGCUGUCAAAAGGUAACUACCGGAGUAUAAUCGCCGAUGCAUUUUGAAGGCUAGGUUGAUUGUGAGCUUUGCUGGUUAUCUGCUAGAACUGAACUAGAUUUAUCUGGCGCUAUCUAAGCGGAGGCUGUGGCUUGUGCGAAAAGUUGUUUUCGAUUCCAGAAAUUGAAUUUCUUUUUAGGGGAGUCUUAGGGCCCGUUUGUUUAUGUUUCUUUUUCUGUUUUUAAACACUUUUUCUGUUUUUUUGUUCCUGGGAACAAAAAAGGAACAGAAACGCGUUUGGGUGCGUUUCUCUUCCUUUUUUGUUCUNNNNNNNNNNNNNNNNNNNNNNNNNNNNNNNNNNNNNNNNNNNNNNNNNNNNNNNNNNNNNNNNNNNNNNNNNNNNNNNNNNNNNNNNNNNNNNNNNNNNCAUCCGCCGAGGCCGAGCUCGCCCAGCGGCCGGCGAGCCUCGGCCUCGCCGAAUCAAGGCGAGGCCGACCCUCGCCGGCCGGUCACCGGCCAAGGCCUUGGCCGGCGACCGGCCAAAAGAAGAAAAAAGAAAAAAUGAAAAAGAAAAAAGAAAAAAAGGAAAAAUAAGAAAAAAAUAGAAAAAAUAAAAAAAUAAAAAAAUUAUCCAAAUUUACCAAACAUGUUUCUAUUUAUUUUUUGUUCCCGGAACAAGUUUACCAAACGCGUUUUUUUGUUCAGAAAUUGUUCCCAGGAACAGAAACACUUUUUUCUAUUUCUGUUCCCUGGAACAAUUUUUAAACAGAAACGCAAACAAACGCACUCUUAGUUUCUUGCGUGUUGUGAAGUUAAUUAUGUUCUGUAGCUUUCUCGCUAUGCAGAAUUGAAGGGCAACCAGAGCAUCUUCUACUAUGCAGGUAUCUACUUCUCUCGUGUCUCGUAGGUAGUUCGCGAUUUACUAUUUUCAUGCAAUGUGAUGUGUGGUGAUCUUUAUUGUACUCGUCUCUUCUUCAAAGCAUGAGUAAUUCAGUGUUGUCAAAUACCUGGAAGGAUCUAACCUAAGUACAGAUUACAAUGCUUCUGGUCCUAUCUUUGAUUCUCUGAGUCGAACAUUUUGGGAAGUCAACUAUUGGGUUGAUUUCUGCUGGGAAAAGGGAGUCCGCCUCUGAAAUGUGGAUUCUCCUUUGGCCGACCCUUUUUUUUCUUCUACCCCAUUUCGAGUCCACACUGAUUGGGCGGAUAAUGUGUACCAAAGUAGUGUUUUUUGCAGGUUAGAUAAUCAUCGUUCAUUUUUCUCAGUGGGGUAACUGAUUUCUAAGAUAGAUGUAGCCCCAUGCAUCAGGAAAACAGCGAUGCCAGGGAUACUACGAUAGUUUGCGAAAUUAGUUAGCUGAGUGAUGUCGGAAAACUGUGACUGACCUGACGUUCAAGCUGGCGAGUCGUCUUCAAAUGCCUAAAGGAGUCUCCGCCGCAUUACUUAGUAAAUCAAUUUUGUAGCCCAGUCUUGGUAGUUCUAGUUCAUGGUAUAAUUGGCGGAUUAACUAAGGAACUCAAUAUUUUUCCUCUGUCCUUCAAAUGCCUACUUGCGAUGGCUAGAAUAUUUAGCUGGAACCACUGCCAAUAUACGAGCAGGAGUAGAAACAACUUCUUCGUGACUGGAGAGAAAUUGAGUGGUACCCCGAUUACUGAUUAGAUGUAAACUCCAUGCCUAGGAAUUAUCGUGUUUUCAUCUGCUUGAUAACUUUGAAGCGGUUGUCUCACAAUAAAGAGUCUAGUACUGAUGCUAUCCUGGACAGAUAGGAAUCUGACUCAUCUAUGUUAUCCGGAAUAUCUGCCGAUCAGUGAAGAUUAUGGCCGAGUCAGCUGAUAACAAUGCUGGGAAGAAGCUCAUUUGAAUUGACAUUAGUUCGGAUACUGUUUGCCCGUGGUGCUGUGUAGGCAAAAAGAAUUUAGACAAGGCUAUAGCCACUGCAAAGGAUCAGUUUGAUUUUGAAGCUCUCUCUCUCUCUCUCUCUCUCUCUCUCUCUCUCUCUCAUCCAUGCACAUGUGUGCCUUUUCACCAUGGUGUAUUUCCAUUCUCACUGAUGUCUCAUCAGGCUUGCAGAUCAAAUGGCAUCCUUUUUUUCUGAAUCCAUCUGCCCCAAAAGAAGGUGUCAACAAGAAAGAGUAUUACCUGAAAAAGUUUGGAUCUCGAUCAGAGAGCAUGGAAGCUUGUAUCCGCGAGGUUUUCCCUUUCUCCUUUUGAACACCAUAAAUUUGUUUACUUAUGCAACUAUUGAUUUUAUAUCCUGCACGUUUUGCAGAUUUUUAGAGGUAUUGGAUUGGAAUACAACAUGUCUGGUCUCACGUAAGAUGCUUAUGAUAUCAUGUGUACAUUGGAUGUUUAAAUUCCCAAAGCAAGAGGUUGUGCUGAGAAGAUUGGGAACAUAUAUAAUAUAUGAGCAGGGGAAAUACUGUGGAUAGCCACAGGCUUAUAUACUAUGUUGGGACAUGAAGGCUCGAGAAGCAACAAAAACUUGUGGAGGAGCUAUUUAUUGGCUACUUCACCCAGGGAAGAUAUAUUGGUGACAGGUAGAUUCACUUCCUGUACAUGCAUUGAGCUACAUGUGGUUGUAUGUGUCCACACAUGCAUCGAAGUGGAUUGCUGAGCUUUGGAAAAUCCCUUAUCACUGCAUCAUCUCUUAAGAUGCAUCUUCUUCCCCUGUAAUUUUUUCUUAAGAAUUGGCUUUAUUCCAUUGGGAAUAGUCUUUGUGAAUCUAAUAUCCUCUACAGCCAUAUUGUCAAACAUGCAUCAUGACCUUUGGCUUAACCUAGGUCUGAAUAGUUUAAGCCUCUUCCCAAGAUAGAAAAAGUUUGGUUUAGCUGAUUCUACUGCCCAAUUUGUCUGGAAGAUAAACGUAAGAUCUCUCCGAACCAUUACGGUUGUUCUUAAUAGUGUUUGAAUGUGAGAGUAAGACACAGGGAAAUCAUUGUUGGGUGUGCUGGUUAUCCUAAAUAAAGGUUACUAAGCUGGGAGAGAGGGGCCAUUCUUCUCUAAUUUUUAGCGUUAGAUCCUCAUAUUCUGAGAAAAUGUCAAAAAAAAAAAAAAAAAAAGAGGCUGACCAAUUUCAUCGUAUGUCCUUAAUUUUUCAUUUGAAUCAUAAAGAGACCAUUUUGCCAGACUUUACUCUAUCCCCAGGGAAAUUUGGUUAAGCUAUACUUAACACGAAGCUAGAAAUGAAGCUUUUUCCAACAUUCUUUUGAUGAAGCUCGCUCGUCUUCAUUUUAAUUUUUAGUGCACACUCGAACUUAACACUUUGUAUAACGUGGAUUCAGAGAAUUCCUUGUGGAAGCUGCUGCCAAGGCUGGAGUAGACGGGGCAGCCGAGUUUCUGGAUAAUCCAAAUAAUGGACUGCAAGAGGUUCUCUCUCUCUCUCUCUCUCUCUCUCUCUCACACACACACACACACACACAUUGCUUCACAUUCGAACCUAGAGAUCAGGAGAGAAUGCGUGACUAAUUAUGUAGAAUAUCUAGAAGGAGCUUUUCGGAGUUAAAAGAUUUCAUUUCUCUAAGCUGACUCAGGAAAGUGUUAUCUCCUUUUUCCAUGAAUUUUUCAAUGAUCCUGUUGAAAUCUACUGCAGUUAAUCUCUUUAGUUUUGGCAGCUUCCAGAUGUUUGCCGCUGAUUCUAAGAAUCUCACGAACCUUUUCAUAAUUUUCUUUUGCUCCAUCAAGGUAAAUGAGGAGCUCGAACAGUACUCAUCGAACAUUUCUGGGGUUCCGCAUUUCGUGGUAAAUGAUGUUCUCUCUCUCUCCCCCCCCGCCCCCCCUGGCUCUCUGUCUCUGUCUCUCUCUCAUAUUUUGCCUUAAUUUUUUGGAUGACAUAGAGAUACCUUUUCUGAGAUCAUUAUUUUCAACAGAUAAAUGGGAAGCACAGAUUGAGUGGUGGCCAGCCCCCCGAGGUGUUCCUGCGAACCUUUGAGAUUAUCGCUAGUGGAAAGUAGAUGAAAUGAAAAUGUCAUCCUUGUGCGUUUACUUAUAAAUAAAUAAAAAAGCAGGUUGUGUUAUCUGUUUUACUAUAAAUACCAUAUAGGAAAAAUGAGUGAAUAAAUUCUUACGGUUCUUGGAGAUUUUGCUGGCUCUGUUUUUGCCAUUGCCUGCCAACACCUUGUUUCAACAGAUAAACGUCCACUUGUGAUGUGCUUUAUGGUUAUGCGAAUUCGCUUUUCUCACAUACCUGACGAUUGAUUUCCUCGUUUCAAUUACCCAAAGCCUGGCAAAGAAAUGAACAUCCGAUCUUUUGCUCUCGUACUCUCUUUUUCUGAGUGAACAGAAAGUGUUGCCAGCUUCACUUGGCCGGAGUCUGAAAAACUACGGCAUUUUGCUUGAGAAUCCAUAGGUAAAUCAAGCUGCCGUUCGCUAAACUUUUGACUUAACUACAGAAGCGAAGUCAUGCACUGGGACCGACAUUAAGCAUUUCAUUGUAAAUCUAACCCCAGAAGCCCAGCAAGCACCGAUGUAACAAGUCGCAGAGUCUUACACGUCGCUCUACCAAGGGCAAAGCCCGAGCAUCAGCAAACUCAGAGAAGAGAACCUGACAGCACCUUAACGCGAAAGCAAGACAGCGUGUCGUUUGGUUGGCCACUCAUGCACUUUCUUUCAUAUGUAGUUUCUAUAACUAAACCAAACCCAAAAAUGGAAAGGCAACGACCAGACAAUUACAUUUACCAAUAUGCACUUGAGAUAUUGCUCGUAUUUACAAUUGCAGUUUCAAGCAGCAUAACCAAGUCUAAACAAAGUAAAAGAUAAUUUAGAAGGAAUGUAUAAUGGGUCUUUGGAGAGAGAGUCUGAGAAAUUGGAAUAUGCACAGAGACUUCUUUACAUUUCAUCAAGUAUAUUAACAGGUUCUUUUUUCUCUUCCCAGUGUUGACAGUAUCGUCAACAUGAGCAUUCACCUAAGAUCAAGUCUCAUCGAACACCAUCACCUGUCAAACAGAAAAAGGUCCAAUUAAGCACACAACUAGGAGAAGAAAACAGUUGAAAUACCAGAACAUCUUGAUUUUUCUCAACUGCCCACACAAAAUGGCACCACCUCUAAAUCAAUAUAGAAGACAUAUAGCAAUCCCAUAACUUGUGAAGCCGCAAAAUCAUAGGAAGCCACAACUAUCAGUCGGUGAGAGGCUGCCGAAAUGUUGGCAGCAUGCUCAACCCAUAGAAGCUCAUGAGGCUAGAAAUGUACUACUAUUUUCUGCCAUUGUUUUAGGUAAUUGUUCGAUGAUCUUUCUUUUUUAUGACAACUACCCAGCCUGGCAAAAUCCCCAAGAAAAGGAAAGCCUCCAAUUAUAAAGCAAUAAGCUGCAAGCAUAACAGCUUAUCCUGGGUGUCAGUAGGACUUGUACAGGGAUUAGUAUGGAGGUUAUAACCAUUCAAAAGUUACCGAUCCCAGUUGAAAACCAAAUAGCAUAUCAUCUUUUGUAAAAAGCUCUUAACGUGUCCUUAAAAUGAUUGCAACCCAACGUGCAUAAAGCAGAGGGAGAAACAAUCCCAAUUCCUACCCCAAAAAAAGAGUUUCCCUGAGAAAGGUCACUCUGUGAGGUCAGACAACAACUAAGAAUCGUGGUCUGUGCCACGGUGAAGCAAUCAUUGGAGCACAGUAAUCACAUGUGUAUGCAUGUAUGUAUGCAUGUUUGCUGUUGGGAUCUAGGAAAAGAAUUACCUUGCCACAUACAGGGCAGAUGUCACUUCUCUCCUUCCACUCAUAUAUGCAACCAAGAUGGAAAUGGUGAGAGCAUUUUGUCAUUAUUCUUGGAUUCUCAGGCGUAUAUUCUGCAUUUAGUAAGCAGUAAAAAUUGAUAGAAUUCAUCAAGAACAUCAACAAUUUAAUUAAUCACAACAUUGCAGUGACAUGUUACAAAACUAUAAACCAAUACUGAACAAGCCAACUUGCACACAAUACUUCUGCUGCCACUGUCUGAGGCAAUAAUCAGACCCAAAUUCCAAGUUCAUGGAAGUACUUCCCUAGUUUCCACAUAAGCUUAUUGUCAAUUUUUAUUCUUUUUUCAGAUGAAAGUUCUCUUCAAAAUUUUCUCUAAAGAAUCUGCAUCUGUGCCAGCAUAUUCCCAGGAAAAAAAGGAAAGCACAAAAGCAUACAAUGGUAAGGUAAUUUCUUUCAGAAAAAAAUCAAGUUCACCAGUAGAUUGGAUCUCUAAAUAGUUUACAAGCUGAAAACUCAACUACAUCUACGCAUGAAAGUGAACAAGUUGAACUAGCCUAAGAUUAUGUCUCAUCCCUUUUCUAAAACUUAUUCAGCACUUCACGUUAUUCAGAAUUAGUUUAGCCCGCUAAUAAUUGUCAGCUCAAUAAGAAAGCAACAAGCAACCAAUCUUCUAAUACAAAAACUUUUACCUUCAAGACACGUCGGACAAACAUCUUCCUCUUCUGAUGUCGUAUAAAUAUGCCCAAUAUCAGCAUUCGCUUUUGCCAAGGAUAGUUUAAGUGAGGUCUUAUAUGGUUGCUCUUUAAAACCUUUUUCAUGUGCAUAGUUAGUCCAUUUGCCUUCUGAGCAAAUAUUAUCCGAUUCCCCAUCCUUGUCACUCCUAAGAGGUUCUGAUUCCUCAUUGGCAUGACUUGAACCCUUCUCAUGCCUUGGAACCAGUCCAUCCCUCUGCAUGCACAAACGCCUUGGCUCUACGUCAUAGGGCAAAGGCCUUGGAGGAGAGUGGUACAUGUCAGAAAAAUAAUUGUCAGGUGACGCUGUAGAAGUCAUUGUGGAUGCUUCCUGAAUGGAAGAAGGGACGGCAUGAAUCUCUCUCCGAAAUAACACUGUGUUGUACUGCACAUCAUGACAAGAGAGAGUCGAAAUAGAUUAUCAAAAUGCUGAGCUCAGUUAAAAUAUCCUCUUCAAGGUAAUUAUUUUUAUUACUAAUUGAUGAUCUCAUGAAGGCUCAGCACAAGACGUGGGCUCGAAGCUCAAGUAUGCACAACUCUAUCAGAUAAGUAGACCUAGCUAAACAUAAAUCUAAAGAAUACCGUCUACCAAAAGGCGGGAUUGACCAUAGAGCAAUAUUGCUCUACAGUAACUAAAUAACUUUUUUCAGGGUUACAUUGACCCAUUAAUUGUUUUUCUCGUUUCUCACAUUCUCUUCUCAUCUUGUCCUCCAACUGGUCGUAUGCUUGUUCUUGUUCUCUCACGCUCGCCAUGUGUCUGGUAGCAGGCAGCAAUAAAGUGCUCUUAACCAUAUACCUUGAGCAUUUCAAGUAUCUCGUUAUUACAUGCUUAUUCCCAGUACAGUAAAUGUUGAAUAUUAGACUAAGUAGACAUUAGAAAGCCAUAUAAUGCCCACGGGCAAUGACAGAGAAUCCAAGUUCUUUUUCGAUGUCACUUUUUCUCCCCUUGUUGUCAUUUGAACCAUGCUUUCCAAUCUGACUAAUGUGACAGAAAACAAUGAACUGCUAAUUCCAUGGGAACAAAAAUUUGCCCUGGUCAAUCUCCAAUUGCAGAGGUGCACUUAUCAAGGCAACAUAAAAGCAAGGGCAUGAAAGCAGGAAUAUUUUUAACUGAACAUGUAUAUUUUCAGUUCUCAGUAACAGGCUUUAUCUGGGUGAUUAAUCAGCAACAAUUGAAAACCAAUUUUAUCACUGACUUUUGUGGAGCUCAUCAUCCAAAGAAAUGCUCACUGGUAAGGCAUUAAAAGAGUAAGUGCGAGGUGCAACAUACCACGUAAAAAAAAUUAUCAACCACGCAAUUAAAGCAAAUGCAGUUCCUAUAUGCAGAACUGCUCCGGAGAACAUCUUCCAAGUCUCCCCUAAAAAGAAAUUCAAUUUCUGGAAUCGAAAACAACUUUUCGCACAAGCCACAGCCAGAUAAAUCUAGUUCAGUUCUAGCAGAUAACCAGCAAAGCUCACAAUCAACCUAGCCUUCAAAAUGCAUCGGCGAUUAUACUCCGGUAGUUACCUUUUGACAGCGAGAGGUCCGAGAACAAGCAACAGCAAAGGAGAACCGUGAUACAUGGAACCUGUGGAAGGGAUCAAAGCAUCAAACAGCGACACACCAGUAGGCAAACAAGCAGCUUCCUUCCUACAGAGAUCGAACGGAGCCGAACCUGCGUAGGGAGACAUCACCGACUGCUUCAACCAGUAGCCUUCGCCAACUGCAGGCGGCACAAACAAGAAAAACCAGAAAUCGUAUCAGAAAAUGGACCUCCAAGAUUUCAAGGGAGGAGGGGGAUCGGGGAUCGGGAAUCGAUGACGGAGCGAAGAGAGGCAGCGUUACGGCGGCGAAUGCUGGUGAGAGAGCUGGCGACCUCGGGGCGGGUGGACAGGCCGAGGUUCCUGGGGAGGUAGACGAGGGCGAGCCGGAACGCGACCGACGCGACGACCCAUGUCCAGAACCCCGAGCGCGCGCGCUUCUGCUUCUUCGUCUCCGUCUUCUGCUUCGUCGUUUCUCUCUCCUCCAUUUUCGCCGUCGUGGUUCGACGCGUUGGCGUCGGGCGUGUAGGCGGAGGCGGAGGAGACGGGGGCGACGGACUCCGACGCCGACGGAGGCAACCGGCGGAGGGGCGUCGGCGUCGGGGUUUGCUGGAAGAGAGGCGCGACUUCGAGGACGAGAGAGAGAGAGCGGACUAGAGGUCGCGAGAGGGAGGCGGAGGGGCGUCGGCGUCAGAGUCGGGUUCAGGGGAGGAAGCGGAGGCUGCGUCGGCGUCAGAGUCGGGUUCAGGGGAGGAAGCGAAGGCUGCGUCGGCGUCGGCAUCGGCGUCGAACGACUUCGCGGAGGGGGAGAGAGAGAGAGCAGAGCGGACGUCGCGAGAGGGAGGAGGAGAGAAAGUGAGAGAGAGAGAAAAUUGCAGAAAAUUCAAUGCAGGAGAGAGAAAUCUUUUGGGCGGGAGUCUUGACCUGUCUUUUCUUCUUCUUCAGCGAGCCGAGCCAAGCCGAGCCCGCCCCUCCAUUUUCCAGCGGGUCCCACAGGACGCGUGUCGAUCUCCGAGUGGUAAGUGCGCACCACGUAGGACGAUUGCUAACCACUGAAUAUUUUCUCGUGUGGGAGAGGUCUUCUUCUUCAGUGGGUCUUUGAACGCCUGUUGAAGCCCGCCGCCCGCAGCUGCCCGUAUUGAGCUCCUCCUCCUCCUUCAACAAGCUUGCUAUUCAAUCAUCGACGAUGCCAUUUGCCUGCGUCGUACUGCCACCGUGACACGUCGCAGCAAGCUGACCUCAACAUCCUUGCUGUCUCCAAGCUUCACCGAGCUCAGAGCCAUCACCACAGCGAUCCGUGCCAAGGUGUCCGUCGUUGCCGAUAGUGUAGACCGUGAGCCAUUAUCGAACAUCACCACGAGCCAUCGUUGGUUCCACAAUAUGACGAGUCCAAAUUCGGGAAUGAUAUUACGAAAUAGGUAAAGUUAUUAUUCAAAUUUAAUUUGGUUAUUUCCUUACUUAAUUCGUUGAUAUCUCUUUGAAUGAUAUAUCUUAUCCAAAGUUUCCUGAAAAACCUUUUAAAUUAUGGAUUAUUCUUUAAUCUCACAACAUGCAUACAAUUGACAGUCCGAUUUCAUGCUCGAAAUAUAACUUGCAAUCACACGAAAAAAUCGCCAAUCAAAUCUCACACCUGAGAUAUGAUUUGUCAAUUUAAAAAAUUAAGUAGACACGAAUGCCUUCGUUUGAAUUGAUUUUGUUUCCGUAAAAGAAAACCCUAAAAAUAAUAAAUAUAUUCAAGUUGGAUCGGAUUCUCACAAGAAUAUCAUAUGUUUUAGGAUAGUUUGCAUAUUUAGAUUAGGCAUUUUACUUAUUCCGAAUUUUUGAAAUAAAAAAUUCGGAAAAUUUUGAUUUAGGAUGUUAGAUUUUCUCUUUAUUAAUUUGAAUUGCAUGUUCGAUUAUUAGACAAUUUUAAUUUCGAAUUUUAUAAAAAAGGAAAAGAAAACAUAAAAAAUAUCAUGUGUGUCACCUGGAAUUAGGUCAUUUCUUGCAGUCAUUGCAUGAUUAGGGUCAUUUAAAAGGAUAGUUUCAUCUAAUAUGUGCCCAUCAUUAGAUUAGGUCAUUUAAUUAAUGUUGCAUGACAUAUAGAUUACAUAGUAGGUUUAUUUAAUUGUACGUCACAUGAGACAUAUUUUUGAUUGCAUUACACAUAGAUAAGAUUUCAUUAAAUAAUAAUAAAAUCCUAAAAAAGAUUGAGCGAUUACGUGCUAAUUAGAAAUCAUAUCUAGGACCGCAAAUGUAAAUUCUGAACUAAUAUUGCAGAUGCUUUCGUUGCUACGAGGUAGGUCUUGCAAUUUAUUUAUCAUUUUAUUGGGUGUUAAAUUGGUUAAUUGCGCAUCCGUAUGGUCACCUCAUAUGUUAGGAAAGAAAUUAAAAUUAAUUCAAGCUACCUGAAAAAUAUUUUUUUAGAAUAAAAGAGAAAAUGUACUAAAAGGGCAUUAAAAAAACUAACGUAAUCAAGUCAGUAAAGUAAUAUUACUUUACUUGGUUUCUAAUCGACCCACCAAAAAUAGAUUAAUAGUGACUUUUAAUUAAAAAAUCAUUUGCAUGUUAAGAACUUGAAUUUAAGUCGCGAGUUGAUAUGGACUUGGGAGAGUCCAAGCUAAAUUUAGGCUUAGUAGUUCAUUAGCCAAACUCUAGGUGAUGCAUCCGAGCUUAGAUCGCAACACUAAGCAUGGAUUCUCUCAUUGCAAGAAGUUAAUAUAAAAAAUUUUAGAACUAAAUUUGUCCAACUUAAAAGAACUGAAUUGGUAUCAAUGUGAAAAAUUUUAGAACUAAAUUUGUCCAACUUAAAAGAACUGAAUUGGUAUCUAUGUGAAAAAUUUUAGGACUAAAUUGAUCUAGUUAAAAAGAACUGAAAUGGUACUAAUUUAAUAAGUUUAUGAUUUUUUUUUUCUUUUCCCAUCAUAAAUCUUAGCUAACCAACCGUGCACUUCUUUUUAUGUCAUUGCCUUAUUUUAAUCCUAUCCAUUCCAGGCUACCCCGCAGUCAAAGAUUCAAAGGUGCUUCGGAUCACAAUGAGAAUGGUAGAUGAAGUUUUCCCCCUUGGGGAGACUAUAAUGUUGAGUUGAAUUUUCUUUCUAUCAUGAUUUUGUUUAGGGAAAAAGCCACGAAAAACCUAAACUUUGCCCAAAAUGACACAUUUACCCUAAACUUUUUUCAAACCGUAACAUAUUUACCCCAUCAAUGACAUUUUUGUCUUUUUAUUCUAUUUUUUUCCUUUUUCUAUGUUUUUCUUUUUUUCUUCUUCCCUUCAUCGGCGUCCGGCGAGGGUCGCCCUCGCCACCCUCGCCGGCAUUGGGCAGCCCUCGCCAGGCGUCGAGCAAGGAUGGCCCUCGCUAGAUCUGGCGAGGGCAGGGACACCCUCGCCCGACGCAAGCGAGGGCUACCCUCGCCGGUGACGAGCAAGGGCGGGGACACUCUCACCCAACGCAAGCAAGGGUGGCCCUAGCCCAACGCCGACGAGGGUGACCCUCGCCCGACAUCGGUGAGGGCAGCCCUUGCCGGACGCCAGCUUCCCUUCCCCGGGAAAAGAAAAAGAAUUUUUUUAAAAAAAAUGAAAAGACCAAAAUGUCAUAUAAUUUUGGGGUAAAUAUGUCACAUAACAAAAACUCAGGGUUUUUUGUAUUACAAAAAAAAGUUUUGGGUAAAUGUGUCACGGUUGGCAAAGUUCAAAGUUUUUCACGUUACAAAAAAAAGUUUAGGAUAAAUGUGUCACUUUGGGCAAAGUUCAGGAUUUUUCAUGGCUUUUUUUCUCUUUUGUUUAUGUGGUAAUUGAAAGCAUAUCAAAUAAAAGCCUUACAUGUGCUUUCAAAUUUCAAAGAGCUCUCAAUAAUGUGAAAAAUUUUAGGACUAAAUUAAUCUAGUUAAAAAUGACCGAAGUUAGUUUAAUAAGUUUAGAACUUUCUUUUUCUUUUCCCAUCAUAAAUCUUAGCUAACCAACUGUGCACUUCUUUUUUUGUCAUUGCCUAAUUUUAACCCUAUCCAUUCUAAGCUACCCCGCUCUCAAUUUAAAAUUGAGUUGAAUUUUCUUUCGAUCAUGAUUUUCUUUAUGCGGUGAUUGUGAGCGUUUCAAAUAAAAGCCCUACAUGUUAUUUCUACUUUUAUAAAACUUAACUAGUUGCCGGAAUAUUCAUUGACAAGACCGACCAAAAAAAGGAAAGACACAAGUUCUGUGAAAUUUGAUAAAUGGAGAUGCCUAGAGUGAGGAUUAGAGAUGGAUGGACACCAAGUGCUGCACCAUACAAUUCAUGAAAAAUCUCAAAUCUCCACUCUUCUCCGCAAAAUUUUUACUUUUUCUGCCAUCAAAUCAUGUGUGACCAUGUGUCUUGCCAGCAUAGACAUCAUUUGGUAUCAUGUGCCGCGACGAGGAGAAUGGUAGAUAUCGAAGAGCUCGAGGCGAAACCAUUGGUGUCCCUUCAAAACCUUACCUACAAAAUCGGCGCGCCGGGGUUUGGUGGGAAAUCUCGUGCCCCGUUGCAUUCGAGCUACCCAGAUCGUACAUGCGUUUUCAUCGGUCUAUAUAACAUGCAGCAUGUAACAGAGGAAGAAGCGCCCGCGCUCUUCACUAAAUAUUGGAUCGUAUCCCAGCACUUGCAGCGCAUAGAUGGCGAUUCUCGCCGACAAAGUCCUGCUCCGAGAGAUCGCCUCCGCGGCUCUCCUCUUCCUCAUUACCCGAUUCUUUGUCAGCUCUCUCCUGCUUCGCUUGAACUCCUUUAAGCUCCCGCCUGGCCCGAAAGGGUGGCCGGUCAUCGGCGCCAUCCCUCUCUUGGGGAACAUGCCCCAUGUAGCGCUGGCCAAAAUGGCCAAGAAGUAUGGGCCGGUGAUGUACCUGAAAAUGGGCACGUGCGGCAUGGUCGUGGCGUCGACCCCUGACGCCGCCCGGGCUUUCUUGAAAACCCUAGACAUCAACUUCUCCAACAGGCCCCCGAAUGCGGGCGCGACCCACUUGGCCUAUGACGCGCAGGACAUGGUCUUCGCUGACUAUGGCCCGAGGUGGAAGUUACUUAGGAAGCUGAGUAAUUUGCACAUGCUCGGAGGGAAGGCCCUCGAGGACUGGGCUCGCGUCCGAACGUCCGAGCUAGGGUACAUGCUUCAAGCCAUGUGCGAGUGCAGCAAGCGAGGCGAGCCGGUGGUGGUGCCGGAGAUGUUGACCUAUGCCAUGGCGAACAUGAUAGGGCAAGUCAUUUUGAGCCGAAGGGUGUUCGUGACGAAGGGCUCCGAGUCUAAUGAAUUCAAAGACAUGGUGGUAGAGCUAAUGACAAGCGCAGGUAUAGCAUUCAACGAACAUUCGAGACAAAAACACGAAUACACUUAGCUAUCGCGCAAGCUUCUAAUGCUCGAAUCUAUGACACACGAAGGUUACCUAAUUUCCUUACGUGAUGUAGGGUUCUUUAACAUCGGCGACUUCAUCCCAUCAAUUGCGUGGAUGGACUUACAAGGGAUUGAAGGCGGAAUGAAGCGCUUGCACAAGAAGUUCGACGUGCUGUUGACGAAGAUGAUCGAGCAACACUCGGCAACUGCUCACGAGCGUAAAGGAAACCCAGAUUUUCUCGACGUCGUCAUGGCCAACCGAGAUAACUCUGGGGGCGAGAAGCUUAGCUUGACCAACAUUAAGGCUCUUCUCUUGGUAUAUACAUGUCUAAGUGGAUUGAACAAAAUCUGUCAUGAUGAUUUUUGGCUCGUUCAUUAACUUGUGACGUUAAUAGGUACUGAUCUCGUUAUCUCUUUUCCUAGAAUUUGUUCACUGCAGGCACCGAUACUUCAUCGAGCAUAAUCGAGUGGUCGCUGGCCGAGAUGUUGAAGAACCCCAGCAUCCUCAAGCGAGCCCACGAAGAGAUGGACCGAAUCAUCGGGCGGCACCGACGCCUCGAGGAAUCCGACCUCCCGAAGCUUCCGUACUUGCAGGCCAUUUGCAAGGAGAGCUUCCGAAAACAUCCAUCGACACCGCUAAACCUACCGAGGGUCUCGACCGAGGCCUGCCAAGUGAACGGCUACUACAUCCCCAAGGACACAAGGCUGAGCGUGAACAUAUGGGCGAUCGGGCGGG
rnacentral:lncRNA from 1 species